GAUGAAGAACGCAGCGAAAUGCGAUAACUAAUGUGAAUUGCAGAAUUCAGUGAAUCAUCGAGUCUUUGAACGCACACUGCGCCCCCUGGUAUUCCGGGGGGCAUGCCUGUCCGAGCGUCAUUGCUGCCCUCAAGCACGGCUUGUGUGUUGGGCUCCGUCCCCCCGGGGACGGGCCCGAAAGGCAGCGGCGGCACCGAGUCCGGUCCUCGAGCGUAUGGGGCUUUGUCACCCGCUCUGUAGGCCCGGCCGGCGCCAGCCGACAACCCAUCAUCCUUUUCAGGUUGACCUCGGAUCAGGUAGGGAUACCCGCUGAACUUAAGCAUAUCAAUAAGCGGAGGA
rnacentral:misc_RNA from 1 species